rnacentral:lncRNA from 1 species
UCUCUCUCUCUCUCUCUCUCUCUCUUUCUCUCUCUGUGCUGCUUCUUAUGGGUUCAGAGGUUUCUGAUCCCCAGCAGGGGUUCAGAGGUUUCUGAUCCCCAGCAGGCAGGGAAAGGGCCUCCUGACUUCCAAUAUUUCUUGUUCCGAGCUGGGGAACACGGGUUUUAUUUCUUGGUCCAGGAAAUGAACCAUGGCAGACGAAAUCUCCAGCUGCGGCGUUGGAGGAUCAGCCCCGCGACUGCGAGGAGAGCAGCAUUUGAUUUGAAGUAUUAAGGAUUUGUAGCCCGAAUUACAAAUAUAUACACACCUUUGGUAGUUCUUAUGUGUGCCAUAAAAUUAUUCCAUGUUUGGUUAUCUGUUCUCAAUUUUAAUCAAAAGCAAAACAAACAAGGCGAUGCUUUAUGUUUUGAUCAUUUCUGACACCAACAUGCCUUUUUUUUUUUUUGUCUUUAUCAUGAUGUUGCACCUAUCUGAUUAACUGCAUUCGGAAACAGAAAUGGAGCUGGAAUAACCGGAGGCCAGCGUCACCUCACCCUCCACCUCCACCACUUUGUGAUAACAGAGGUAGUGCAGCCUUGAAUGGUUGUGAUAACAGAGGUACUACCAGGAUGGUUCACAAUGAAGAAAAAGUGCAUCGCGGAGUCGUCGGCUUCGGUGGUUCUGUAUUUGGAUGGUUGCAAAAGAGACUAAGCCGGUGAGAUUGCCAAAAGGUGCUAUUUGAUUACUGGUUUCUUUCUUAAAUAACAUAUGCAGAAGAAAAACACUAGGAUUCAAAUUGUGGAAUUAUA